AAAAGCCUCUAGUUGAUAGAAGAAUGUAGAUAAGGGUAGUCGGCAAGAUAGAUCCGUAACUUUGGGAAAAGGAUUGGCUCUGAGGGUUGGGCGUGCGGUGUGGAGGCGGUCGCGGGGCGGCGGCGGCGGCGCGGCGCGUGGCCGUUUGGGUGCGCGUGGCGCGGCUGUGCUGUGUCGUGGGGGUCUCCCGUCCCUCGGGGCGGACCGGGCGCGGGGAACGACCGACUCAGAACUGUAGCGGACAAGGGGA
rnacentral:rRNA from 1 species